GAUGAACGCUGGCGGCGUGCCUAAUACAUGCAAGUCGAGCGAACAGACGAGGAGCUUGCUCCUCUGACGUUAGCGGCGGACGGGUGAGUAACAUGUGGAUAACCUACCUAUAAGACUGGGAUAACUUCGGGAAACCGGAGCUAAUACCGGAUAAUAUAUUGAACCGCAUGGUUCAAUAGUGAAAGACGGUUUUGCUGUCACUUAUAGAUGGAUCCGCGCCGCAUUAGCUAGUUGGUAAGGUAACGGCUUACCAAGGCAACGAUGCGUAGCCGACCUGAGAGGGUGGUCGGCCACACUGGAACUGAGACACGGUCCAGACUCCUACGGGAGGCAGCAGUAGGGAAUCUUCCGCAAUGGGCGAAAGCCUGACGGAGCAACGCCGCGUGAGUGAUGAAGGUCUUCGGAGCGUAAAACUCUGUUAUUAGGGAAGAACAAAUGUGUAAGUAACUAUGCACGUCUUGACGGUACCUAGUCAGAAAGCCACGGCUAACUACGUG
rnacentral:rRNA from 1 species